GACGAACGCUGGCGGCGUGCCUAAUACAUGCAAGUAGACCUUAGUGGCGGACGGGUCAGUAACGCCUAGGCAUCUGCCUGGUAGUGGGGGAUAACGUACGGAAACGGGCGAUAAUACCGCAUACUAGCAGAUGAGCCAAGGUCGGAUUAGCUAGUUGGUGGGGUAAAGGCAUACCAAGGAGACGAUCCGUGACUGGUCUGAGGGGAUGAUCAGUCACACUGGAACUGAGACACGGUCCAGACUCCUACGGGAGGAAGCAUGGGGGAAUAUUGGACAAUGGGCGAAGGCCUGAUCCAGCCAUGCCGCGUGGGUGAAGAAGGUCUUCGGAUUGUAAAGCACUUUAAGUUGGGAGGCGUUACCAACAGAAUAAGCACCGGCUAACUUCGUGCCAGCAGCCGCGGUAAUAC
rnacentral:rRNA from 1 species